rnacentral:rRNA from 1 species
GUGACAUUUCCACUCAAAAGAAUUACAGCCACCGCUCAAAAAAAGAGAAGAAUUAGAGCCACCACACAACCUAUUCUCCCCCAAAUCGGCCCCUUCCUAAACAUCCUCGUCGACCGCCGCCGCCGCCCCCUCUGCCGUUGACCACGCCCUCCACCUCCCCCCCUUUGGUUGACCUGGGUGACCCCAUCGGGAUCUAUGGUGGUGGUGCUUGGAGCUCGGCAUCGCCUCCCUCGAUACGCCUCUGGUUUGCGAGGUCGUCGUUGCCUCCUCCCUUCUACACCACCACCAGAACUGGUCGACGAUGUCGGUCGCCUCCAUCUCUUCUUUACAGUCCAUCACGUCGACGAGCAUACGCCCCCACCACGGCUUCCUCCCCGCCAACGGCAAGCGUGGUGUCCCAUCUCUACUGUGUUGGUACAAUACUUUCCUCAGAUCCGUCUUGGUGGAAACCCGAUGCAGGUGCUAUUAGUGAAAGGAUUGGAGACUGGUUCUAGCAGUGGUUGGUUUGUUCGAGGAAUUCCUGGUGCUCGUGAUUAGUAAAGGGUUUCAGCCAGGGCAAGUAAUUAUCAGCUGAGCAAAGGCUACAAGAUGCUAGGAGGAGAAGUUUGAAUGGAGGCAGAGAGUACACUAGGAAACAGAAUGGAAAAAGGAAGAGAAUACAAUGUUGAAGCACAAGAGUGAGAGGCUAGCGGAAGUUAAAUCAAUAAACUAUAAGCAUUUUGAAUGAUUAGGGCCUCGUGUUGUUGGGAACAUUACAACCAUGGGGAAAGCUAAUUUUGGUUGCUAGUUUAGCAUAGAACACUAUAUGCUCAUUUUGGUCGUGUCGCAUCCAAAAACAUAUGUAAUUUUCCUUUUGUUGCACAACACCCUUAUAUAUGGGCGUUUCUAGGAACAUAUGUAUUUGGUUGUUAAUUUCAUUGAAUGAAGUUAAGUUUUACGAAGAGGUCCAUAUGUGAAUUAUGAAAUAGUGUCAUUUGUCUGGAUUGCCU